CGGCUUCCCCGCACCCCAAGUGUGCGCCGCUCUGGGUGGCCGCGGGCGUGUGUGGACGCCACUCCACGGGGUCCCAGGGGGCCGAGCCACGGGGACCGGCCCGCGGGGCUUGUUUGCUUUCCCGGGCAGUUCAGACUCGGGACGCCCUCGGAGACCUUAGGUGGCUGCCGGCCAAGGAGCCAGUGUCCCCGCGCCGGGGAGGCAGGAAGCUGGCCCCGGGCCAGGCGCAUGGGUCAGCAGCCGGUCCCAGGGGUCCGGCUCUCUCUCUGUCUCUCUUUGUCCUCCUCGGGGUAGGAUGGAGUUUGAAGGAGACCCUGUGCACACCUCCCAGGUGGGGUAGCUGGGGUCCAGAGGACAGGACAAGAGGUGGCUGGGGUGUACCUUGUGUGAAGACCCAGCCCACUGCCGCCGUCAUGGGACAGAACCAAGAGGGAAGCUGGAGAGCUGAGGGUCUUUGCAGGAUGCCCCGGUGUAGUGGACAUGGCUUCGACCCUCCUCUGGGGCCCAUAGCCAGUGUGCGGCCCCUCGAGAGCAGGACCAGGGCGGCAACUGCCAAUUCUGUGACAUGUGGGCAACUCUUCCUCCUUCCCCUGAAGAAUUCAUUGGAAGAGAAUGACAAGGGACGCCAGACGUGGACAUCGAGACCCACCAGAAGACAGCACGCGGGGAGACACAGCAUGCACGUUCUUGAUUCCCUGCACACAGAUCCUAGAUGCAAAAAGUGUGUACACGCUGCCUUUGGCUUGCUUUAAAUCACAUCCACUCGGAACUAACAAAUAUUUAGGCUUCUUUAUAAAUAACUGAGCUAACACUUACAAAAGACAGAACACGCAGUUGCAUCGCUAUGUGGCCCACAGGCCAAGGCCAGGGACAGAGCUGGGAUGUCCUGAGCAGAUGCCCCAGCGAGGGAAGUCCAUCUGUCGCCCGCAAUCCUUGCCACCUCUGCAGCCGUAGCAGCCCUGGCCAGCUCACCCCACCACUCACUGCUCACACACUUUGAGACGAAACCGUGCUUUGGCCUGAAAACCAACUCGACCACAGCAACAGUUCUCACUGUCCACAGGUUAUGAAGAAUAAAUUGGAGAAAUUCUCGUAUUAAGAUUUCA
rnacentral:lncRNA from 1 species